AUGCUUCCCAGGGGAGAGGAGCCCCAAGGGAGGAGUCACACAGGCCCCCCACAGCUCCACUGUAGGAAAAAGAGCUUCCCUAAAGGGCACCAGCCUGAAAAGUCUGCGGAGAUAGCUUCUUGGUGCCUUUCACACCGUGAGGUACAAGUGGGAACCUCCUUUGGCCAAGGCAAGAUGUGUCCUGCGGUCUCUGUGGAAAAGGGACCAUUAAGAGUCCUUUGUCCCAGGGCAGCCCCGAUGGUGCAGCAGUUUAGCGCCGCCUGCAGCCCAGGACAUGAUCCUGGAGUCCUGGGAUGAGUCCCGCAUCGGGCUCCCUGCAUGGGGCCUGCUUCUCCCUCUGCCUGCAUCUCUGCCUCUCUCUCUGUGUCUCUAUGAAUAAAUUAAAAUCUUUAAAAAAAUAAAAAUAAAAGAAUCCUUAGUCCCUAAGUCAGUUCAUCAGUGGCUGACUGGGCACAUGCUGGAAGGCUCGGAGAGCUGGGGGCCUAAAGGUCUUCCCGUGUAUUGGGAGACACAGAACGCAGAACACCACUUACCCUGAUACUUGAUUUAUUUUUAAUUCAUGAGAGACUCACAGAGAGGCAGAGACACAGGCAGAGGGAGAAGCAGGCUCCAUGGAGGGGCCCCGAUGUGCGAGUCAAUCCCAGGACCCCGGGGUCACACCAUGAGCCGAAGGCAGACGCUCAACCGCUGAGCCACCCGGACGCCCCACUCUGAUACUUUAAUGGUGAUACUUAUACGGUACAACAAAGGCCUUACGGGGCCGCCUGGGUGGCUCAGUCAGUUAAGCAUCCAGCUCUUGAUUUCAGCUCAGAUCGUGAUCUCAGUGUCCUGAGGUCAAGUCCCACUUCAGGCUCUGUGCUCAGCAGGGAGUCUGCUUGAGAUUCUCUCUCUCUCCGUCUCUCUCUGCCCCUCCCUGCCUCAAAUGAACAAAUAAAUGGUUUUUUAAAAAGACUUUAUGAACAUUAAUUCAUUUAGUCUUCCAGACACCCGGGUAGCUCAGUGUUUAAGCAUCUGCCCUGGGCUCAGGGCAUGAUCCCGGGGUCCCGAGAUCAAGUCCCUGCACAGGGCUCCCUGCAUGGAGCCUGCUUCUCCCUCUGCCUGUGUCUCUGCCUCUCUCUGUGUCUCUCAUGAAUAAAUACAAAAAAAUUUUUUUAAAGAAAAAGAAAUGAUGGUGCGUGUACGGCAGGCCGGGGUAAACGGAAGGGUUUAACCAGAUGGGGUCAGGCCAGAGGCUAGGCCGCCUGAGGCCUGACUCAUUCAGAGGGCUGAGGGCCCCAGUACAAUCACACAGUUGUAGCCACUCCGGCCCCGGUGGCUGGGACCCUCCGGCUUGGGGACGCCGGUCUGUUCGGGGGAGGUGAGGAGCUGCAGGAGGAAGAAGAAGAAAAGGGGUACAAACAGCUGAAGCACAGCCCUCCUUACAGAGAAGGCUCAGGGAUCAAGGGCACGCAUGGGGGGAAGCCAUAAACUCCAGGGUAUCUAGGCACGACCUGAGGCUAAUCACCUGCCAUAAAAGCAACCACAGCCCAUGGAGAGGUGGGACAGAGGAGGGAUCUCCCCAACAGCGAGCCGCCCCCAAGCCAGCCCUGCCCGUGCCACCCCCACCUGCUGGGGUGGAGGAAGUGAAAACAGGGAGUCACCGUCUGAGCCUCAAUUCCCUCCUCUGAUAUUGGGGGCUGGCUAAACAGCCUCUGAUAGUUCUGACUCUCCCAAGAACAUCAAAAGCUUAAAAGAUUCUAAGGAAUUUGGCUUCAGUCCAAAAAUAAUGAGGAUUUU
rnacentral:lncRNA from 1 species